rnacentral:rRNA from 1 species
CGGGAGGCAGCAGUGAGGAAUAUUGGACAAUGGGCGGGAGCCUGAUCCAACCAUGCCGCGUGCAGGAUGACGACCCUAUGGGUUGUAAACUGCUUUUAUACGGGAAGAAACGCACCUACGUGUAGGUGUCUGACGGUACCGUAAGAAUAAGGACCGGUAACUC